rnacentral:rRNA from 1 species
UACGUAGGGGGCAAGCGUUGUUCGGAAUUACUGGGCGUAAAGGGCGCGUAGGCGGCAUGGCAAGUCAGGAGUGAAAGGCCUGGGCUCAACCGAGGAACUGCUUUUGAUACUGCCAAGCUAGAGUGCGGAAGGGGCAACUGGAAUUCCCAGUGUAGCGGUGAAAUGCGUAGAUAUUGGGAAGAACACCUGAGGCGAAGGCGGGUUGCUGGGCCGACACUGAUGCUGAGGCGCGAAAGCCAGGGGAGCAAACGGG